rnacentral:rRNA from 1 species
UACGAAGGGGGCUAGCGUUGUUCGGAAUUACUGGGCGUAAAGCGCGCGCAGGCGGUUCUUUAAGUCAGGGGUGAAAGCCCAGAGCUCAACUCUGGAAUUGCCUUUGAAACUAGAGAACUUGGGUACGGGAGAGGUGAGUGGAAUUCCGAGUGUAGAGGUGAAAUUCGUAGAUAUUCGGAAGAACACCAGUGGCGAAGGCGGCUCACUGGCCCAUUACUGACGCUGAGGCACGAAAGCGUGGGGAGCAAACAGG